rfam:Dichomitus squalens LYAD-421 SS1 unplaced genomic scaffold DICSQscaffold_1, whole genome shotgun sequence.
GGGCUUAUAGCUCAGUGGUAGAGCAUACGAUUGCAGAUCGUGCGGUCCCGUGUUCGAACCACGGUGGGCCCU